rnacentral:rRNA from 1 species
UACGUAGGGCGCAAGCGUUGUCCGGAAUUAUUGGGCGUAAAGAGCUCGUAGGCGGUUUGUCGCGUCUGCUGUGAAAACCUAAGGCUCAACCUUGGGCUUGCAGUGGGUACGGGCAGACUAGAGUGCGGUAGGGGUGACUGGAAUUCCUGGUGUAGCGGUGGAAUGCGCAGAUAUCAGGAGGAACACCGGUGGCGAAGGCGGAUCUCUGGGCCAUAACUGACGCUGAGGAGCGAAAGCAUGGGGAGCGAACAGG